rnacentral:rRNA from 1 species
CCUACGGGAGGCAGCAGUGAGGAAUAUUGGUCAAUGGCCGGGAGGCUGAACCAGCCAAGUCGCGUGAGGGAAGACGGCCCUACGGGUUGUAAACCUCUUUUGUCAGGGAGAAAGGUGCAGGUCGGGACCUGCUGUGAGAGUACCUGAAGAAAAAGCACCGGCUAACUCCGUGCCAGCAGCCGCGGUAAUACGGAGGAUGCGAGCGGUAUCCGGAGUUCUUGGGUUAAAUGGGUGAGUAGGCGGAGGCACAAGUCAGCGGUAAAAUCGCGGGGCUCAACCCCGCGCCGCCGUUGAAACUGUGUGCCUUGAGUGCGCGAAGGGUAGGCGGAAUGCGUGGGGUAGCGGUGAAAUGCAUAGAUAUCACGCAGAACUCCGAUCGCGAAGGCAGCCUACCGGCGCGCAACUGACGCUCAUGCACGAAAGCGUGGGUAUCGAACAGGAUUAGAUACCCGGGUAGUC